AUUGAACGCUGGCGGCAUGCCUUACACAUGCAAGUCGAACGGCAGCACGGGGCAACCUGGUGGCGAGUGGCGAACGGGUGAGUAAUGCAUCGGAACGUGCCAUUGAGUGGGGGAUAACGUAGCGAAAGUUGCGCUAAUACCGCAUAUUCUGUGAGCAGGAAAGCAGGGGACCGCAAGGCCUUGCGCUCUUUGAGCGGCCGAUGUCAGAUUAGCUAGUUGGUGAGGUAACGGCUUACCAAGGCGACGAUCUGUAGCGGGUCUGAGAGGAUGAUCCGCCACACUGGAACUGAGACACGGUCCAGACUCCUACGGGAGGCAGCAGUGGGGAGUUUUGGACAAUGGGCGCAAGCCUGAUCCAGCCAUGCCGCGUGAGUGAAGAAGGCC
rnacentral:rRNA from 1 species